UACGAAGGGGGCUAGCGUUGUUCGGAAUUACUGGGCGUAAAGCGUAUGCAGGCGGAUCGCUAAGUCGGGGGUGAAAUCCCGAGGCUCAACCUCGGAACUGCCUUCGAUACUGGCGAUCUUGAGUCCGGGAGAGGUGAGUGGAACUCCGAGUGUAGAGGUGAAAUUCGUAGAUAUUCGGAAGAACACCAGUGGCGAAGGCGGCUCACUGGCCCGGUACUGACGCUGAGAUACGAAAGCGUGGGGAGCAAACAGG
rnacentral:rRNA from 1 species